CAGUUGCCACGGUAAUACGUAGGGUGCAAGCGUUAAUCGGAAUUACUGGGCGUAAAGCGUGCGCAGGCGGUUAUAUAAGACAGAUGUGAAAUCCCCGGGCUCAACCUGGGAACUGCAUUUGUGACUGUAUAGCUAGAGUACGGCAGAGGGGGAUGGAAUUCCGCGUGUAGCAGUGAAAUGCGUAGAUAUGCGGAGGAACACCGAUGGCGAAGGAAAUCCCCUGGGCCUGUACUGACGCUCAUGCACGAAAGCGUGGGGAGCAAACAGGAUUAGAUACCCCCGUAGUCCCUGUCUCUUAUAC
rnacentral:rRNA from 1 species